AUACGUAGGUGGCAAGCGUUGUCCGGAUUUAUUGGGCGUAAAGCGAGCGCAGGCGGUUUCUUAAGUCUGAUGUGAAAGCCCCCGGCUCAACCGGGGAGGGUCAUUGGAAACUGGGGAACUUGAGUGCAGAAGAGGAGAGUGGAAUUCCAUGUGUAGCGGUGAAAUGCGUAGAUAUAUGGAGGAACACCAGUGGCGAAGGCGGCUCUCUGGUCUGUAACUGACGCUGAGGCUCGAAAGCGUGGGGAGCAAACAGGAUUAGAUACCCUGGUAGUCCACGCCGUAAACGAUGAGUGCUAAGUGUUGGAGGGUUUCCGCCCUUCAGUGCUGCAGCUAACGCAUUAAGCACUCCGCCUGGGGAGUACGACCGCAAGGUUGAA
rnacentral:rRNA from 1 species